rnacentral:rRNA from 1 species
CCAGCAGCCGCGGUAAUACGGGAGUGGCAAGCGUUAUCCGGAAUUAUUGGGCGUAAAGCGUCCGCAGGCGGCCCUUCAAGUCUGCUGUUAAAAAGUGGAGCUUAACUCCAUCAUGGCAGUGGAAACUGUUGGGCUUGAGUGUGGUAGGGGCAGAGGGAAUUCCCGGUGUAGCGGUGAAAUGCGUAGAUAUCGGGAAGAACACCAGUGGCGAAGGCGCUCUGCUGGGCCAUCACUGACGCUCAUGGACGAAAGCCAGGGGAGCGAAAGGGAUUAGAUACCCCUGUAGUCCUGGCCGUAAACGAUGAACACUAGGUGUCGGGGGAAUCGACCCCCUCGGUGUCGUAGCCAACGCGUUAAGUGUUCCGCCUGGGGAGUACGCACGCAAGUGUGAAACUCAAAGGAAUUGACGGGGGCCCGCACAAGCGGUGGAGUAUGUGGUUUAAUUCGAUGCAACGCGAAGAACCUUACCAGGGUUUGACAUCCUGCGAAUCUCUUGGAAACAGGAGAGUGCCUUCGGGAACGCAGUGACAGGUGGUGCAUGGCUGUCGUCAGCUCGUGUCGUGAGAUGUUGGGUUAAGUCCCGCAACGAGCGCAACCCACGUCUUUUAGUUGCAGCAUUUAGUUGGGCACUCUAGAGAGACUGCCGGUGAUAAACCGGAGGAAGGUGUGGAUGACGUCAAGUCAUCAUGCCCCUUACAUCCUGGGCUACACACGUACUACAAUGCUACGGACAAAGGGCAGCAAGUUCGCGAGGACAAGCAAAUCCCAUAAACCGUGGCUCAGUUCAGAUCGUAGGCUGCAACUCGCCUACGUGAAGGAGGAAUCGCUAGUAAUCGCAGGUCAGCAUACUGCGGUGAAUACGUUCCCGGGCCUUGUACACACCGCCCGUCACACCAUGGAAGUUGGCCACGCCCGAAGCCGUUACUCCAACCCUUGUGGAGGAGGACGUCGAAGAUGGGGCUGAUGACUGGGGUG